UACGGGGGGAGCAAGCGUUGUUCGGAUUUACUGGGCGUAAAGGGCGCGUAGGCGGUCAGCACAAGUCAGUUGUGAAAUCUCCGGGCUUAACUCGGAAAGGUCAACUGAUACUGUGCGACUAGAGUGCGGAAGGGGCAACUGGAAUUCCCGGUGUAGUGGUGAAAUGCGUAGAUAUCGGGAGGAACACCAGUGGCGAAGGCGACUACCUGGCCUGUUCUUGACGCUGAGGCGCGAAAGCUAGGGGAGCAAACGGG
rnacentral:rRNA from 1 species